UCAUAACAAUUUGGUUUAUGGUGUUUUUAAAAAUAAACCAUCAGCAGGAGAAAUUAAGGCAGCCAAGCUGGCACAGCUAAACAAAAUGAAAGAGAUGUAUCGUCCCCCUAAACAAUCACCAGAGCCCAAUGAUGAGAACAGAGAGAAACUACUAAAUAGGCCAGAUAUAGAGGAUCAAGAUAUUCUAGACAAAGAAGUGGAUGACCUGGUUAACUGGACUAAUAAUCUAAAUUCCAAUGCUAUUGAUGCCACAUAAAGAACAAUGUGUUCCAAAAAUGCUCAUAUGUGAACAUUUUCUCCUUAGAUUAAUAUAUGUGCCCCCCACCCCCUUUAAAAAAAAAAUUCUAAUAAUCUGACAUG
rnacentral:sRNA from 1 species